GCUGUGAUGGCCGAGUGGUUAAGGCGUUGGACUUGAAAUCCAAUGGGGUCUCCAGCCGAGGUUCCUCAAACUCCUGCUCACAGCU